rnacentral:rRNA from 1 species
GAUGAACGCUGGCGGCAGGCCUAAUACAUGCAAGUCGAACGGCAGCACAGCAGAGCUUGCUCUGUGGGUGGCGAGUGGCGGACGGGUGAGGAAUACAUGGGAAUCUGCCCAGUCGUGGGGGAUAACGUAGGGAAACUUACGCUAAUACCGCAUGCGCCCUUCGGGGGAAAGCCGGGGACCGUAAGGCCUGGCGCGAUUGGAUGAGCCCAUGUCGGAUUAGCUAGUUGGCGGGGUAACGGCCCACCAAGGCGACGAUCCGUAGCUGGUCUGAGAGGAUGAUCAGCCACACUGGAACUGAGACACGGUCCAGACUCCUACGGGAGGCAGCAGUAGGGAAUAUUGGACAAUGGGCGCAAGCCUGAUCCAGCCAUGCCGCGUGAGUGAAGAAGGCCCUCGGGUUGUAAAGCUCUUUUGUCCGGAAAGAAAAGCACUGGGUUAAUACCCCGGUGUCCUGACGGUACCGGAAGAAUAAGCACCGGCUAACUUCGUGCCAGC